CGUCGGUUAAAAUAUUGGCAUUUGCGAUUAAUAACUCAUUACAUUUGAAGUGCUUCACUUUUCCGAAACUCUUAAGUGCCAUGACUGAAAUUUUGGAACAUAUUGUCAUUCAAUUAAUUCAAACAUUUAGUAUUCAUUGAAUUACGAACACUUACAUUUACAUACGCGUAGCAGUACUUCAUAUUACGGAUAAUCAGAUACUUAAUUGCUUUACAAAGUUUGUGUUCAAUGUUAUUCAUAGCUUUGAUAGGAGAGUGUACAAAGUAAUUCUUUAGAUAAUAAAUGGAAAUUAAGAUGGAAAUUGAAAACUUGAUUUAAUUAAAGGAAUAAUGGUACACAAGUCAUAAUUAUUGUGGACCCGGAAAUCCCUUGGAUAAUAGACCUCCUGUUAAAGCACUAGACGCAGUAUGUAUGGACCAUGACUUUUGCUAUAACAACAAUGCUUUGGGAAAUGAAAAAUGUGAUAAACAAAUGCUGUCCCUCUUUAAUAACACUCAAUCGAAGUCACUGGAGAUAAAAUGGAAACAUGUAGUUGUAAAACGAGCAAUUAAUAUGAAAUUUAAACUUGGACUCGGACAAAAGUCAAAAAAGGGAAAAGCCUUUAAAUAGCCUUUAAAUAUAAUGCUUAAAUCCCUCGAAAUAAACUGGAGUGAAUAAGCAGAAAAAUAGCAUAAACCAAUUUGUUUAAACUUUUCGAAACGAAGAGUUAUAGUAAAUAAUAUUGAUGAUACUUGGUAUGCCGACUGAGUUGACCUGCAAGUUGUUUCAAAAUAUGAUAAAGAUGUAAAAUAGUUAUUAUGGAUCUGUUUAGCAAAUGUGCUACGGGACGGUACGGGUUUUAAUAUCAUUCAAUUGCGGAGCACGAAAAGCUUACGCGCAAAUUAUCAAGAACUUCAAAAUUGUCAAUAGAAGAGGUUCUAGCACGUACAGUUCUGAUGUUUUACUACAAUUUGAUGUCCAACACAAUGUAAUGUUAUGCUGCAGACAUCGCCGUAGUGUACAACACUGGACAGUCGUAUUUGUAUGGUUUUAAUUUUCUUUAUUCGUACUCGGUCAUUUUCGACCCAGUAAUAUAGUUUACUUGGUGCUAGAGAUGUAUUUGCUGUUCAUGGGAGAUUCUCAUAGAGCUCAAUUUAUGGCGUAUAUUUAUAAACUGCAAAUAUAUGAUUUACUUAAUGUUGAUUCGGCAAUUGACAUGAAGUUCUAUGGAAUUAGUGGCGCUUGUUUAACAAACUCGAACCAUGUCCUGUUCGUUCAAGACUGAUUAGUGAAGCAUCAUCCUGACUAUGGUGUCAUGUUCAUUGGUGGUAACGAUAUUGAUUAACCAGGCUUUACUGCAUUAAAUGCAGAGACCAUAGCAUUACGAAAUGUUUCAAUUGCUAAACUUUUCUUACGUUGCUACAAUCCGAAACAUAUCUUUAUUUGCCAAUUUAUUCUAAGGCAACACACCCGCCACAUCCCAGCGUACAUAUACAAUGAUUUUAUUAUUACUGGGAAAAGCAAACAGGGUGUUUAAGCAAGAACUUGGAAUACUUAACGAACUGGAAUUUGAAAGGAAUGAAACAUUCUAAUGCUUACAUUUUACAGAUAGAUGGUGUUUAUUUCAACAACCUGGGAUUUGAAAUGUUUCCACAAUGUGAGAGAAAUGAUUUUGAAGUGCAUUGCAGAUAUGUAAUUCACACAUGUACUGGAAGAUACUGUAUUCUAAUUGGUGGCACAUUUGUAUCUAUAUUAUCAUAUAACAGUAAGUAUAGAUAUAGUAAGUAUAUUAGCCGUCAUAUAUGAUAGAACCAAACCCACAUGGGGUCCAUUUCAGUUAGAUAAACAAGACUUCCUGCAGGUUUAUGAACAUGGCAGAUCUUGUAUAUCACAAAUUUUCUGUCCAUUUGUGGUAAAAGACUAAAUGUAGUUAAAUGGACUAAUAGAAUUAUAAAGUCUAAACACAUUGUCUGUAUGUGUUUAUAUAGUUUAAAUGUAGUUAAAUGGUCUACUGGGAUUAUAAAAUCUAGACACAUUGUCUGUAUUUGUUUAUAUUCUGUUCCACUAUAUAAAUGAUGGUUACAGACAAGUAAUCUGCAGUCAAAAACACUACAAGUUGUCAAAUGGGCAACAAAAUAUGAUCGUUUUUGACAGCUGUCUACAUUUAUGUAAUCAAAUUGGCUGCAUGGAGUCAAAUGGGUUACUAAGUCUUUGUUACUCAGAUAUUUUGUCCGUAUUGAUGUAGUUAAAUGGACUACAGUGUAGUCAGAUGGACUGCUUUGUAUAGUCAGAUGGACUUCUUUGUAUAGUCAAAUGGACUCUAUAUAGUCAUAUGGACUACUUUAUUUAGUCGAUGGAUUAUUUUACUGUAUGGCUUAACACAGGAUGUCUGCCAUACACUUGUAAAAUGUUACAAGAAGAGAUUGUUGUAAAUACAGUAUUAUCUCGUGGAAGUUGAUCUUUACAUGCUCUUUUAGUAAGUAUAGAUAUAGUAAGUAUAUUAGCCUGUCAUAUAUGAUAGAACCAUUUCAGUUAGAUAAACAAGACUUUCUGCAGGCUUAUGAACAUGGCAGAUAUUGUAUAUCACAAAUUUUCUGCCCGUUUGCAGUAAAAGACUAAAUGUAAGUAACUGGACUAAUACAAUUAUAAAGUCUAAACAGAUUGUCUGUAUUUGUUUAUACGUUUGUGGUCGAUUAGUUUAAAUGUAGCUAAAUGGUCUACUAGAAUUAUAAAAUCUAGACACAUUGUCUUUAUUUUCUUAUAUUCUGUUCCAUUAUAAAAAUAAUGGUUACAGACAAAUAAUCUGUAGUCAAAUACACCGCAAGUUGUCAAAUGGACAACAAAAAAAUGAUUGUACUUGACAGCUGCUUAUAUAUUUGUAGUCAAAUGGGCUGCAUGGAGUCAAAUGGGCUACUAAGUCUUUAUUACUCAGAUAUUAUGUCCGUAUUGAUGUAGUCAAAUGGACUACAGUGUAGUCAGAUGGACUACUUUGUAUAGUCAGAUGGACUUCUUCGUAUAGUCAAAUGGACUAUAUGUAGUCAUAUGGACUACUUUAUUUAGUCGAUGGAUUAUUUUUGCUGUAUUGUUAAACACAGGAUGACUGCCAUACACUUGUAAAUUGUUACAAGAAGAGAUUGUUGUAAAUACAGUAUUUCUUGUGGAAGUUGAUCUUUACAUGCUCUCGUAUAUGGUUUUCUAUUUCAUAUGCCACCAAGACAGCGAAGGCUGCUGCAGCUGGGGAAGCUGCUAAAAGCGAACGAAGAACAAACCAAAUUGAGCAGGUUUCAGAAGCUAACACAUCCAAUUGAUCAGAAAAAGACUUGAACACAAUUAUAUCAAAUGUUGCUCCUGCUGUCACACAAGGUAUGUUGUAGGUUUUAAAAGACUUGACGGUACUACCGCCUGACUAUUCUGAACCAAAACUUCGGAAAAGAACAGAUACCUUUGGAAUCCACACAAAGCACUUCAACAUCUGCUCCAACACCAACUUUGCCAGCUUCAGUUAUGAAUCAAAAUUCUGCCACAUUUUUGCAUCCACUUUUUCUUGGUAUCGAUGAAAAAAUCAAAGCUAAGAUUGUAUCAGAUCAGUCUGUGGAGUUAGAUUCCAUAUAAAAUAAAGGUGGUUAUCAAUAUCAUUUAGUCGAAAAUUGCAGUGGGGAACUCUCGUUCAAAAACGUUUUAAAUCGUCGACCAGUAUAAAAACGCUGGAUCAAAGGUUUAAUACAUUUCAUAUUUUUACAAGUGUUUACACAGACAGACACCCAACAUCUGCUGCUACUUUAAUGAAACAUUGCGACACAGUUCGUAAACUUGCAAAGCAAUCGUGGGGAUUCCGCUGCCAUUUUUACGAUAGAAAAUUUAGUCUCUUAAAAGAAGCAAGAUUGGCUUCGAUUUCAUAUGGGGAAAUCGAUACCCAGUUAUACACGCAGACACUGGUCAUGGGGUUAAUUAAACCAAAACAAAAACAGUCCUUUUUUUGGCGCAAGAUCCCACCAAAACAAACCGUGCUUUGAUUUUAACAACGGGUCUAGUGCCAGAAAAUCGUGCAUCUUUCAGCACAGAUGUCAAAAGUGCCCCGGUCCUCAUGGACGAAUUGUGUGUUUUUAAAAAAGUGCAAUCAAAUUUCAAGUCAAAGAACUGAUAACGAAACCUUAUGCAUGGUGCCUGCAGUCUUAAAUAAGGCUUCUUUCAUAUUGUUACACCAAUUAAUUCUGAUAACCUACGAUACUGGCUCCAAGGUACGAUUUGAAAUUAACUGAAUAUUUGAUGAAUGGCUUCACAAAGGGCUUAAAAAUACCUUUUACAGGUACUCAUUCUAAUAAAUUUCCUGGGAAUUUCAAAUCUGCGACUGAAAAUUUAGAGGGCAUAAAAUCACUGUUGAAAUUGAUGCGGGUCGUGUCCCGGGUCCUUUGAAUGAACCACCUUUUAGCAACUUUAUGACCUCAAAUCUGGGUUUAGUAACCAAAUCAGGAACCCAGUGAAUUUCGUGGAAUACAUUAUUUAUCAUUUUCAGAAGUCAAUCUGUUAAGGCUGGAAUCCCAUCAGAAUUGUGUUUUGUUCAGUAUCAAAAUAUUGAUGAUGCAGUAGAACUUGUGAAAACUAUUGGACCUGGUGCGCAUGUCCAAAAUGCAUUUAAAAUCAUUCCAAUUCAGUUGUAGGCUUGGUAAAUAAACAAACAUCUCAGGACCUAAGUAUUAUAUGCCUGGUCAAAAGAUUAGUUCUACAAUGUUUGAAAUAUAACUUUUUGUUUUAAGACACGCAUUUUAAAAGCAUUGCAAGGUUAUCAUAAUUUAGUUCCUAAAACAGACACACGUUUGCCAGUUGCAUAACUUAAUACGGUCAAUGGACGUAGUUUGCAAUUCGCAAUUUCUACGUAUACUGCUAGCAGCCAUUUAUUUAUUGACCUUUCAUGUUUUCUUUCGAGUUGGAGAAGUUACUUCUUCCUCUCCUGACUCGUAUAUUAUAGUAGUAGAACAUGUAUAUAUAACAUUCAAUCGAACUAAAUAGCUUUGACUUGGUU
rnacentral:lncRNA from 1 species